rnacentral:rRNA from 1 species
CCUACGGGAGGCAGCAGUGAGGAAUAUUGGUCAAUGGCCGGAAGGCUGAACCAGCCAAGCCGCGUGAAGGACGAAGGUGCCAAGCAUUGUAAACUUCUUUUGUCAAGGGACAAAAUCAGGCUCGAGAGCCUGACCGAGGGUACUUGAAGAAAAAGCAUCGGCUAACUCCGUGCCAGCAGCCGCGGUAAUACGGAGGAUGCGAGCGUUAUCCGGAUUUAUUGGGUUUAAAGGGUGCGUAGGCGGGCUGUUAAUUCAGCGGUAAAAGCCCGGGACGCAACCCCGGCGAGCCGUGGAGACUGGCUGUCGUGGGAUGGCGAGAGGUAUGCGGGAUGGGGGGUGUAGCGGUGAAAGGGUUAG